CAAUAUGGUCCGCAUUAUACCUAGUUAUGUAGUAAUACUGGAAAGGAGAUUCAUUACAGGCUGGGAUUUGCCAUUCUAAAAUCUAAGAAGGUUGGGGACACCCCCCUCAGCUUGAGCCACACAAACCUCAGCCUCAUUAACGGCCCCGCCCAUCUGACGAUAUAGGGAUCGUGGUGUCUAGUGGUACGCCCCCCGCACCUGAGAGCUUUGGCUCUCGCUCCCCGCACCUCCAGCUAUUGACUUGCCGUCUGCUGUAUGGACACUUGGAAUAAAGCAUCGUUUGGCAAAUACUUCUCAGUGGUUCUUUACUUAGAGGGAGUUUAAAGUCUAUUCCUGAGAGAAGAGGGCUGAACAAGGAUCUCUCUGCAAUACACUGAUCUCUACAUCUAUACAUCCUUCCAGAUUUCAAGAAAACUUUGGCUAAGAGUAAAGCGAAAAGACGUUCUUGUCGCCUUCACCUCCCUGAACAUUUUUUUUUUUUUUUUAACGAGAAGAGCCCCCCUUUAAUUAUAGCAACUUCGCAAUCCACAAGCUCGGAGAACAGAAGACGACCCUGGCGAGAUGGAGAAUGUUUAGCAGUUAAUUCCAGUACCAGACAGUUGCCCCGAGACAGACUCGCUGCUGCCUCCGUCACCCCUUAAAAAAAAAUCACUUUAUAACUGAGAACGUGAAAAAGAAGGGCAGCGGAGACAACCAUCACACAAGUUCCAUCGGAGCGUUUCGCUACGAGACGCAACCUUGAUGAUGCCACACGGUCGACCGAUCGUGAAAAAAAGGGAUCGCUCCCAGAUGUCAUCAUUCCACCAAAAUGAAUGCCAGGAGCAGAAGUGGACACAAGGAAAAGCAUGCAGAGAACCGUCAUACCUACUGU